UGGGGAAUCUUGCACAAUGGGGGCAACCCUGAUGCAGCGACGCCGCGUGAGCGAUGAAGCCCUUCGGGGCGUAAAGCUCUUUCGACCGGAACGAUAAUGACGGUACCGGGAGAAGAAGCUGCGGCUAACUACGUGCCAGCAGCCGCGGUAAUACGUAGGCAGCAAGCGUUGUUCGGAGUUACUGGGCGUAAAGAGUGCGUAGGCGGUUUUCUAAGUUCGGUGUGAAAUCUCCCGGCUUAACUGGGAGGGGGCGCCGAAGACUGGGAAGCGGGAGUGGGGGAAAGGCAGGCGGAAUUCCUGGUGUAGCGGUGAAAUGCGUAGAUAUCAGGAGGAACACCGGCGGUGUAGACGGCUUGCUAGACCAUAACUGACGCUGAGGCACGAAAGCGUGGGUAGCAAACA
rnacentral:rRNA from 1 species